AUGCUCACCAGGGCUUGGUCCUAUCCAUGUGGUCCUGACCCACCCACCAUAAGCAAGAGAAACUUAAUUGGGAGGAGAGGGGUGCCUUCCCAUUCAUUUCCUCAAGGAAAUU
rnacentral:snoRNA from 1 species